AUUGAACGCUGGCGGCAGGCCUAACACAUGCAAGUCGUGCGGAGCGGCGGACGGGUGAGUAACGCCUAGGAAUCUGCCUGGUAGUGGGGGAUAACGUCCGGAAACGGGCGCUAAUACCGCAUACUAUCAGAUUAGCCUAGGUCGGAUUAGCUUGUUGGUGGGGUAAAGGCCUACCAAGGCGACGAUCCGUAACUGGUCUGAGAGGAUGAUCAGUCACACUGGAACUGAGACACGGUCCAGACGCCUACGUGAGGCAGCAGUGGGGAAUAUUAGACAAUGGGCGGAAGCCUGAUCCAGCCAUGCCACGUGUGUGAAGAAGGUCUUCGGAUUGUAAAGCACUUUAAAUUAGAAGGCGUUACCAACAGAAGAAGCACCGGCUAACUACGUGCCAGCAGCCGCGGUAAUAC
rnacentral:rRNA from 1 species